GUGGGGAAUAUUCCGCAAUGGACGAAAGUCUGACGGAGCAACGCCGCGUGAGUGAUGAAGGUUUUCGGACUGUAAAGCUCUGUUGUUUAGGACGAAAGUGCCUGUUGCAAAUAGUUACAGGUAUUGACGGUACUGAACGAGGAAGCCACGGCUAACUACGUGCCAGCAGCCGCGGUAAUACGUAGGUGGCAAGCGUUGUCCGGAAUUAUUGGGCGUAAAGAGCAUGUAGGCGGGAAUCUAAGUCUGUUGUGAAAAUGCGGGGCUCAACCCCGUAUUGCGAUGGAAACUGGGUUUCUUGAGUGCAGGAGAGGAAAGGGGAAUUCCAAGUGUAGCGGUGAAAUGCGUAGAGAUUUGGAAGAACACCAGUGGCGAAGGCGACUUUCUGGACGAUGUCUGACGCUGAGGCGCGAAAGCUAGGGGAGCGAACGGGAUUAGAAACCCGUGUAGUCC
rnacentral:rRNA from 1 species